UACGUAGGGACCAAGCGUUGUUCGGAUUUACUGGGCGUAAAGGGCGCGUAGGCGGCGCGGUAAGUCACUUGUGAAAUCUCUGAGCUUAACUCAGAACGGCCAAGUGAUACUGCAGUGCUAGAGUGUGGGAGGGGCAAUCGGAAUUCUUGGUGUAGCGGUGAAAUGCGUAGAUAUCAAGAGGAACACCUGAGGUGAAGACGGGUUGCUGGGCCAACACUGACGCUGAGGCGCGAAAGCCAGGGGAGCAAACGGG
rnacentral:rRNA from 1 species